rnacentral:rRNA from 1 species
CCUACGGGAGGCAGCAGUAGGGAAUCUUCCGCAAUGGACGAAAGUCUGACGGAGCAACGCCGCGUGAACGAUGAAGGCCUUCGGGUCGUAAAGUUCUGUUGUUAGGGAAGAACAAGUGUUAGUUGAAUAAGCUGGCACCUUGACGGUACCUAACCAGAAAGCCACGGCUAACUACGUGCCAGCAGCCGCGGUAAUACGUAGGUGGCAAGCGUUGUCCGGAAUUAUUGGGCGUAAAGCGCGCGCAGGCGGUUUCUUAAGUCUGAUGUGAAAGCCCCCGGCUCAACCGGGGAGGGUCAUUGGAAACUGGGAAACUUGAGUGCAGAAGAGGAAAGUGGAAUUCCAAGUGUAGCGGUGAAAUGCGUAGAGAUUUGGAGGAACACCAGUGGCGAAGGCGACUUUCUGGUCUGUAACUGACGCUGAGGCGCGAAAGCGUGGGGAGCAAACAGGAUUAGAUACCCUGGUAGUCCACGCUGUAAACGAUGAGUGCUAAGUGUUAGAGGGUUUCCGCCCUUUAGUGCUGAAGUUAACGCAUUAAGCACUCCGCCUGGGGAUACGGUCGCAAGACUGAAACUCAAAGGAUUGACGG